rnacentral:rRNA from 1 species
GACGAACGCUGGCGGCGUGCUUAACACAUGCAAGUCGAACGGAGCGAAUGAAAGCUUGCUUUUAUGAGCUUAGUGGCAAACGGGUGAGUAACACGUAGGCAACCUGCCGACAGGAUGGGGACAACAUUCCGAAAGGAAUGCUAAUACCGAAUGAAGCGGAGGAGAGGCAUCUCCCCUCCGUGAAAGAUGGCCUCUUUUUAUGCUAUCACCUGUCGACGGGCCUGCGUCUGAUUAGCUGGUAGGUGAGGUAACGGCUCACCUAGGCGACGAUCAGUAGCCGGUCUGAGAGGAUGAACGGCCACAUUGGGACUGAGACACGGCCCAGACUCCUACGGGAGGCAGCAGUGGGGAAUCUUCCGCAAUGGGCGCAAGCCUGACGGAGCAACGCCGCGUGAGUGAAGAAGGUCUUCGGAUCGUAAAGCUCUGUUGAUGGGGACGAACGUGCCUAAUGCGAAUAGUUUUAGGCAAGACGGUACC